rnacentral:rRNA from 1 species
UACGGAGGGGGCUAGCGUUGUUCGGAAUUACUGGGCGUAAAGGGUUUGUAGGUGGCCACUUAAGUCAGACGUGAAAUCCCUCAGCUUAACUGGGGAACUGCGUCUGAUACUGAGUGGCUUGAGUGCAGGAGAGGAACGCGGAAUUCCAGGUGUAGCGGUGAAAUGCGUAGAGAUGUGGAGGAACACCAAUGGCGAAGGCAGCCUUCUGGGCCAACACUGACGCUCAUGCACGAAAGCGUGGGGAGCAAACAGG